AGGAGAGCGGACUGGCUGCAGGCAAGGGGAGCGUUGGGGACGGCGGCUUGCAAAACAAAAAACAAAACCCCCACAAAAAAACCAACCAGCCUUCCCCGGUUCGGUCGGAUCGCCGAGCCUAGCCAGCCGGAAUGCGCCACACAUCGGAGACAAAGAAAAUGGCUUUCUCCAGAUAGGCUUUGUGGGGAUCCAGUAGCCUUGCAGCAUGGAGAAGUGCGGAACACCAAAGAAGGAAGAAUGAAUGCACCCAGAAUUGCUAAAAAAAAAAAAAAAAAAGUCAGAAAAGGGAAACCACUGGCUUUCCAAAGUUCAGCUGAAUCUGGAUAUAUGACUCCGCCACAAUGACUUGUUCCUCUAUUCUUUCUUAGGGUGUUAGCCACUCAAAAUCCCUCUUUUUUAAAAAAAUCGCCAUUGCCUAAAUCUUGUUGCUUUGGGUGCUGUUUUAGCAAUUGUUGACUGCAAUUGUUGACAGGUUGGUACAUGAUUCUUUUCAAGAAGAAAAACAAAACAAAACAUCCCUAAAAAAUGAAACCUUAAUUAGUUGUUGGAAAUGACUAUUUUUAUGUGGACAUAAAGUAGGACUGAAAUCAACAAGACUUUCUUCUAAGGAAGAUGUUAAGGCUGGAAAGGGAAGCGAAAGAAAUCAUUAUUUUCACUGCCCUAGAUCCAGAAAAGCAAACAAGUGAAAUUCGCUGUAAUAAAUGUUUUUGCCUCUUGUUGUAAACCCAUUCAUGCUUUCUCUCUCUGUGUGAAGUUGUAUGAAAUAAACAUUUAUGGGUCAUA